rnacentral:miRNA from 1 species
CCUGCCCUCGAGGAGCUCACAGUCUAGUA